ACCCCCAAUCACCCCCUCCGCCACCGCUCCUUUCUACGCUCUAGCCUUCUCUCCCCGCCCCUCGCCUAAGGAAGGCUCCACGUGGAAACUUUCCCCAACCGCCCCGACCCUCUCCAGGCCACUCCAGCCCGGACUCCACGCAGAGCCCCAACCCCCUCACCUUCCCCAAAGGCCCGGAGGGGAGGGGAGAGGAAGGCGGAAGGGGGUGGUCAGUUCUCCCGUCCCGGGGGAGGGGGAGAAAGCCACCCCUCCUUAGGCUUCUAAACUGACUCAAACCUAACCACACCCCCUCCUCCCCAGGGGAGCCGGUGGAGGGGGCCGGUCAGCCUGAGAUCGAGCAACAGACACCCAUGUUCGCACAUAUAUCUGUACACCUACGUUUACCCUAACCAGACCCGGGGCUCUUACUGGGAAGGGAGGAUUUGGGGCGCUUACUUUAGCCACAGGACCAGCAGAGCAGUGCCUAAGACUGGUCGGCAUACAGGCUUGUCUAGAAAGCAGCAAUCAAGAAGGAGCUCCUGGCACCCAGAGGCAGGCUGCAUGAAGAAAGCCUCUGCUCUCUCUGCAAGAUCCACUUUCCAAAUUCUCAGACCUUGGAUUCUCUAUAAGAAUCUAGAUUGAUGUGCUGAAUUCUUGACUGUUUUGUGAAGGCCACAAAAGGAAACCAAAGAAAUCUCUGUUUGGUUUUGGAGACCAUGGACCGGGGACAGUUUUCCAACAAGAAUUUGUUCUUCUGAGUCCCAAGCAGCUCACUGUCAAGAGUUCUCUGCGUUGCUAAAGGAGAGCACCAAGAACAUGGUGAUGCUUGAACUCCCAAACUGAGUAAGGAUUGCCUUGACCAACUUCCCCUGCUCCUGUCAUAUGUAUUGGCUAAGAAAAAAAAAAAACAAAAUCUUUGCUCUUCUAUCAAUUAUUCCAAUCCAUUUUUAAUCAUUUCUACAGCUUAAGUUAUUAAAGAGCCCAAAGUAAAACCCCCAAAGUUUAAAAAUUCUAGGGAAAUAUGUGCUACAUGAUAAUAUAUGUACAACUCAUGUCUUAUUACCUGCUUUCUGGGAGAGGGCGGGGGAAAAGGAUUGGGGGAAAUUACUAAUGUGAAGAUUUGUUUCUCUUGGAUAAGCAUAUUUAUUAUAACAGUAUACAUUCAAAACAACUCAUCUGUAUUAUAUUAUUGUUAAGUUACAUGCUAUGUUAUGUGAAACAUAUUUUUAAUGGUAACCAAAACAAUUAUAUGAUGCUGUUAGAUUUAAAAUGGUUGAAGGCCUUAAACUGUAACAGUUAAAAGAGUGAUGUUGUAAACUGUAGUGAGUUAAAAUGGUGGAAAAUAUAAAUUGUGAUAGAUAUAAGAGAGGGUGAGUAAAUUUGACUGCAGAAAAUAUGUUUCACUACAGUGUCUUGGUUUUUAAAUCAAAUAUAAGGUGGUCGCCAGGGAAAUAUUCCCAAUUAUUCAAAUACCCAAGUCAACUGGGUUUUAUAGAGAUUUUAAUUAAUACAAAUGUGGAAUUAAAGAAAAGAGAGAAAGAGAGAAAAAGGAAAUAAGUAUGAAGGGCCUUAAGCCAACAUGGCCUAGACCUGAGUCUUAAGAGAGAGAGAUCAGUCAGUCAGACUUUUAAUACUCACCACAAGGUAUGUCUAAGCAAGGAUUCUAGUGACACCAGGCCAGCUCCAUCUCAGCUGAUUUCACCAGAGAGAGUUCCAGCCAGAGUCCUCCUUAAAGAGCCUUCCUGCCAGAGACUGUUCCAAAGGGCCUCUCUCCAGAGCCUCCAGAGGGACAGAGUCCCCUCAGAGGAGCUCCAGCAAGACCUCCUUAGAGAUUGUCCUCCAAGAGCUUCCCUUCUCCAGAGCCUCUCUCAAGAGAUUCUUCCCAAGCGAUCCUCAUCCAAGAUCCUCCAAAAGGAUUUUUUUCUCAAGAGAUUCUGCUUUUUCUUAUAUAGGGGUUUUUCUCCUAUGUCACCUCCCCUAAGUCCUUACAUCUACCAAUCACUGUAGAUGGUUUCCAAAGGACUGCCCAUCUGAAUUCCUGCUAAGUCGACUAAUCUCCUCAGUAAGUCUGAACCAGUGAAAACACAGCUGAGUCAACUAAUCUCAUUAAGAGAAAACUUGCCUGACCCUUUUAGGUACCUAGCAUCUCAUUGUAUCAAUUCUAAAAAACAGGCAUGGCUCAAAGAACUCCUUGCCUUAUUAUAAGCAUGGGUCCAAGUACUUUCAUUGCUUAGCAAGGAGUUUUCUCCCCUAAAGCAGUCUUAAGUACGGGUGGAGUAGAGGUCCUCCCAUUUCUGAUCCUGGCGAGUUCUCACAUCAAAAUGGGGAAUGUUUCCCAGUAGGGAAUUUGUUCCAAUGGAGGAUUCCUCAAUGUGGAAAUUUUUAACAUUCACAAGUCUGAGAAAUUUCAAGAU